rnacentral:rRNA from 1 species
UACGUAGGGUGCAAGCGUUGUCCGGAAUUAUUGGGCGUAAAGAGCUCGUAGGCGGUCUGUCGCGUCGGCUGUGAAAACUCGGGGCUCAACUCCGAGCUUGCAGUCGAUACGGGCAGGCUAGAGUUCGGCAGGGGAGACUGGAAUUCCUGGUGUAGCGGUGAAAUGCGCAGAUAUCAGGAGGAACACCGGUGGCGAAGGCGGGUCUCUGGGCCGAAACUGACGCUGAGGAGCGAAAGCGUGGGGAGCAAACAGG